GCGCGCCCUGCGAUGACGGCGUCCGGCUCCCAGCGUGGCCGAAGCGUGCGGCCUAAGGACGUGGCCGUUCACAGGAGACCCUGACCGAGAGACGGCAGCCUGGCGAUGGCAGGAACUUCCCAGAUGGCGAGGCGGCCUUCCUUGGCGCUCCAUGUGGAUCCACCCUGCCGGGCAUCCGAGAGCUAAGUCGAAGGCUGCGAAUUGCAGAGGGGCUGAAAGUGGGGUGCCGGGUCGGGACUCUGGACCUGGGAUUUUUAAGUCAGCUUUGGGGAUGGGGAGGUCCAGGCUGUGGCCCCUUAGGCCACGUGAAGGGAGAGCCUCACUUUUGUUCACAGUGCUGAGGUGUGCAGGACAGAGCAGUCCCGGGGCGUGUUGUAUCACCUGUCCGUCGUGCCUUCUGUGUCUUUUGUGCCUCUCGUGUUGUAUGUGCCUCGCCUUAUCUCUUCUGGGGGCUUACCAGAAACCCCGGCAUCACUCCUCGCAUCUCUGAUCUCUGGGCUCUUCAGCCCGAUGCCAUCGAAGCUUUGCCUCAGGAGCUCGCAGAGGCCUUGGAAUCGCGUCUCUCUUUUAAAAGCAUCCGAUCGGAUGUCUUUUAGAGGUCUUGUUCCGAGCUGUGUCAACAGCCGUGCGCCGCGAGGAUCCAUUGUUGCGGCUUAGGUCUUGAAGAAACACAAAGAUAGGUAGAGGACUGUGGCCCUCAGAUUCUCGGGCAUCCGUCUUGGCAGCUGCUGGAGUUCGUCAUUCCGUCAGCAUCUUCUUCCUCCCGGGUUCUGCGAGCUUCAUCAGCUCAUUCUCACCCGGCUCAUCUCGUUCCGCGUUCUCUCGGUCCUUGUGGCCAUUCUUGUGGCCCAGAGUUUUGUCUCCCCGUUGUGUCCCCUCGUCUGUUGUCUUGUGUGUCACGGGUGUCUGGGUGUAGUUGUCCCGGAGCUGCUCUGUCCUGCUGCCCAGCCUGGGUGUAGGUGUAAAAGGCCAAGUCCCAGGCCCCUGUAAUUUGGCAUUUGUAAUGUAGGGUGUAGUUGGAGUCUAGAGGGUAUUCCUAGAUUGACACAAGAUGUCAGGAGCUGUGAAGUUACCCUGCAGCACUUUGACUUUUGUCUUAGCUUUCUUUCAGAUGCACACGGAUGAAAUCGGUGGCAGAGCGCCCCAUCCAGGGUCUCCUCUUUGUCUUUAUUUUUAGGAAGUAGAGCCAGCUGGCAGCAGUCAAGGCGAAGCGGGCAAGGCGGUCCAGUCGCAUUUUGCCGAGAUCCCCUCCCCAACCAACCGGCCGGCACAGCUGUUUCACCGCUCCUGUGAGCCCUGCGGAAGCGUUACAGGACUGUGUGAUGAAGCCUUGGCCUUUUCCACGUAAAGGGGCCGUGUGGGUGGCCUUCAGGAACGGGCCGAGGGGUUGCCGCGCGCCCUGCGACGACGGCGUCCGGCUCCCGGCGUGGCCGAAGCGCGCGGCCUCAGGACGUGGCCGUUCACAGGAGACCCUGACCCAGAAGACAGCAGCCUGGCAAUGGCAGGAACUUCCCAGAUGGCGAGGCAGCCUUCCUUGGUGCUCCACGUGGAUCCACCCUGCCGGGCAUCCGAGAGCUGUGUCGGAGGCUGUGAAUUGCAGAGGGGCUGAAAUCGGGGUGCCGGGUCUGGACUCUGGACCUGGGAUAUUUGAGUCAGGUUUGGGGACAGGGAGGUCCAGGCUGUGGCCCCUUAGGCCACGUGAAGGGAGAGCCUGACAUUUGUUCACAGUGCUGAGGUGUGCAGGACAGAGCAGUCCCGGGGCGUGUUGUAUCACUUGUCCGUCGUGCCUUCUGUGUCUUUUGUGCCUCUCGUGUUGUAUGUGCCUCGCCUUAUCUCUUCUGGGGGCUUACCAGAAACCCCGGCGUCACUCCUCACAUCUCUGAUCUCUGGGCUCCUCAGCCCGACACCAUCGAAGCUUUGCAUCGGGUGCUCUCAGGGGCCUUGGCAUUGCAUCUCUCUUUUAAAAGCAUCCGAUCGGAUGUCUUUUAGAGGUCUUGUUCCGAGCUGUGUCAACAGCCGUGCGCCGCGAGGAUCCAUUGUUGCGGCUUAGGUCUUGAAGAAACGCAAAGAUAGGUAGAGGAUUGUGGCCCUAAAAUUCUCGGGCAUCCGUCUUGGCAGUAGCUGGAGUUUGUCAUUCCGUCAGCAUCUUCUUCCUCCUGGGUUCUGCGAGCUUCAUCAGCUCGCCUUCAUUCUCACCCGGCUCAUCUCGUUCCGCGUUCUCUCGGUCCUUGCGGCCAUUCUUGUGGCCCAGAGUUUUGUCUCCCCGUUGUGUCCCCUCGUCUGUUGUCUUGUGUGUCACGGGUGUCUGGGUGUAGUUGUCCCGGAGCUGCUCUGUCCUGCUGCCCAGCCUGGGUGUAGGUGUAAAAGGCCAAGUCCCAGGCCCCUGUAAUUUGAAAUUUGUCAUGUAGGGUGAGUUGGAGUAUAGCGGGUGUUCCUAGAUGGACACAAGGUGGCUGGAGCUGUGAAGUUAUCCUUCAGCUCUUUGAGUUUUGUCUUAGCUUUCUAAGCAUUACAUUAUUCACUGCCCGAUGUGGGGUUCAAAAGAGCAAGAAAAACCUAUACUAAUUACGUUAUAUUGGUACUUCCUGUGUGUUGGGAAAAAGGACUGUGGGAUAAAGGACUUUGUAAUGGUGUUCCUUAAGUUCAUGUCUCUCAGGGUGGAGGCCUUCAUGUAGUUUUAGUCUCUGAGCUUUUUUUGAGGUUUUAAUCUACUUGUCCAGAAAUGGAUUACUUGUAUUUAUUUCUAUUUUAUGGCUAUCUAUCUAUCUUCAUUUGUUUAUUAUAGAUGUGUAUAUUUUCAUUUCUAUAUUAUUCAU